rnacentral:rRNA from 1 species
CAGACCUCUAAUCGGAAAAGACUACCCGCUGAGUUUAAGCAUAUCACUAAGCGGAGGAGAAGAAACUAACCAGGAUUUCCCUAUG